rnacentral:rRNA from 1 species
UACAGAGGUCUCAAGCGUUGUUCGGAUUCAUUGGGCGUAAAGGGUGCGUAGGCGGCGCGGUAAGUCGGGUGUGAAAUCUCGGAGCUUAACUCCGGAACUGCAUUCGAUACUGCCGUGCUUGAGGACUGGAGAGGAGACUGGAAUUUACGGUGUAGCGGUGAAAUGCGUAGAUAUCGUAAGGAAGACCAGUGGCGAAGGCGGGUCUCUGGACAGUUACUGACGCUGAGGCACGAAGGUCAGGGGAGCAAACAGG